UUUUCAAAGAAAAAGACAGUCCACAUUCAACACGGACACAUGCAGUAAUACAGUCACUGGCCAAGUGAAGACCUGGACCAAUUUUGAGGAACCACCUCACCUGAGUGAAGUCUGUGAUGUGUUCGAGAUGAAGACUUCCAUGUGGUCCCACAGCCUUGGUCCAUGGAUGACACCUUGUACUCCCAUUUACUUUCCUUGAGCUUUGGAAAACUGAAGAUUCCUCAUAUACUUGCUUUCAAAUAAAAAGAUCACUUUCUGCAUCA